CGCCGGCCCCUUUAAGAGCGAACGACCAGGACACGUCUGCGAAGCUUGCGCGAAGGGGAAGUUAGCGCCUGCCAGCGUCUCCCCGCCUCUCUACCUCCCAGCGGCUGCCUGGCCGAAACCAAACUGAGGGGUGGGGUGGCGAAGACAGGAAUAACCCCACUGGGUAAGAAUGAGUAAUGAGCUAACUCAGAGAAAGGUGAAAUAUAGAAGCAACAGGAAAAGCCUUAGACUGUGUUGUGCUGACGAUCUGCUGUGGGGAGAAGUAAUGUGGAAAGGCCAUGGUCAGAAGAUCAGGGUCUUUGGAGGAGAUAAUAGAAAUAAUUACCCUUUGUUGAGCACCUAUCUGGCAUGUUCAAACAGCAUUAUUCUCAUUACACAGUAAGAGAAGGGACCUACAGAGGUAGGGUGGAGAGAUUCAAACUCCAAACCCAAAGCUCUUUCAGCGGUGUUCAAAACUCUUUUUUUAGUUUUUGAGACAGGUCUUAUUUUGUUGUCCAGGCUGGCUUUGAAUUAAACUUUUUAUUUUUAAAGCUGCAAUUUGAUUUUUUUUUUCCUGUAGGGAAAUUGUAUAUUGGGGACCUGAUUAUACUCUACACAUACAACCUAAACUAGUUGAAAUCAGGUUAAGAGUACCUGAACCCCAGGUCACUCAGCUUCUUUCUUUGGCCUUCUCUUCUCAUCCUCAGAAGUUCUGAGGCACCUCUGUAGAACUCCAGUUUGAAGUUAAUUGCAUUUCACCAUACUGCUGUUCUUUACCUGGUGAUAGUGAUUGAAAGUUGCCAGAAAAAUGUACUCUGAUACCUUCUGUUUGGUGUUAGUCUGGCAGC